AACGAACGCUGGCGGCAUGCCUAACACAUGCAAGUCGAACGAGACCUUCGGGUCUAGUGGCGCACGGGUGCGUAACGCGUGGGAAUCUGCCCUUGGGUACGGAAUAACAGUUAGAAAUGACUGCUAAUACCGUAUAAUGACUUCGGUCCAAAGAUUUAUCGCCCAGGGAUGAGCCCGCGUAGGAUUAGCUUGUUGGUGAGGUAAAAGCUCACCAAGGCGACGAUCCUUAGCUGGUCUGAGAGGAUGAUCAGCCACACUGGGACUGAGACACGGCCCAGACUCCUACGGGAGGCAGCAGUGGGGAAUAUUGGACAAUGGGCGAAAGCCUGAUCCAGCAAUGCCGCGUGAGUGAUGAAGGCCUUAGGGCUGUAAAGCUCUUUUACCCGGGAAGAUAAUGACUGUACCGGGAGAAUAAGCCCCGGCUAACUCCGUGC
rnacentral:rRNA from 1 species